GACGAAGGGGCUAGCGUUGUUCGGAAUCACUGGGCGUAAAGCGCACGUAGGCGGAUUGUUAAGUCGGGGGUGAAAUCCUGAGGCUCAACCUCAGAACUGCCUUCGAUACUGGCAAUCUCGAGUCCGGAAGAGGUUGAUGGAACAGCUAGUGUAGAGGUGAAAUUCGUAGAUAUUAGCUAGAACACCAGUGGCGAAGGCGGCCAACUGGUCCGGUACUGACGCUGAGGUGCGAAAGCGUGGGGAGCAAACAGG
rnacentral:rRNA from 1 species